UCUUGGAGGGGUAAAAAGCACUGAUCAAGGACUUGCCAUUAUUGACAAAAGCAUUUUUCCAGGGUAUUAGCAUGCUUAGUCUUUUUUCUAAGAUGACUUGUGUUUGGGGCCUGCCUCAGAUAAAGAACAUUGAAUCUAAUGGAAGCUUCCCCUUAAGCUGUGGAGCUUCAUAGGUGACCUCUGAACUUAUCUGCCUGUGAUAUGUGCCACCAGAAGAGAAUCUCAACAAAUCAAAAGCAGCACAAAGAGAAUGGGCAAACACAGGGAACAUAGGGUAGAUGAGCACCACGGCUCACAAGAAUCACAAGCAGUAUAUAUUAUCUUGAAACGCUUGUUUUAGGGCUUCAUUUUGAAUUAUUUGGGAAGGCAGCACCAAAUUCAUUGCAUGGUUCUUGAAAUUGAGACCAUCUGGAUAGAGAUGUGGAAAUGUUUUCAGGUUGUUUCUGUAACAUUUUUAAAAAAACUUUAUUGUGAAUAAUAUAUCUUUCUAUUUAUGGAUUUCAUAACUGAGAGAAUGAAAAUCAAGAAAAUGUCCCCCAAAGUCUUGUAUUUCUCCGAUUUAAUCACCAUCUACUGAGUUUCUUAACUGAGAGAUGGGAGUGAGAUCUGCCAUGGCCUAGAGUGUUUCCUAGAUGCAAAAUGUAUUGCACAGUGGUACCUCGGGUUACGAACGCUUCAACUUACGUUUUUUAGGGUUACGAACGUUUUUAACCCGCAAGUAAGUUGUGAGAGCUCCCCGAGGCCUCUGCCGGUGCCAGGAGACAAGGCCCGAAAUCCGAGGAGGCUGAGGCCUCCCCUGAUGCCGGCAGACAAAGCCCGACUUCCGAGGAGGCCUCCAUAGGCCUCCGUGGAUGCCGGCAGACAAAGCCCAACAUCCACAGGGCCUGCAGAGGCCGGGGGGCUAGGCCCCAACAUUCGCAAGCCUGCAAAGGCUCUGUGACUUUGCUCCAGCCACAGAAGGCCUCCGCAACAACCCCAAGACAUCCACAGGAUCCCAGCCCCAAAGUUAGAGCAAUGAAGCUGUUAAGAAACAAGAGGAGCCUCUGCCGAAAAGCCCUUUGCCCCACCCCUAGCUGUAGCAAGAUGGGUGGCACCUAGCCAGGAAAGCCCACCUACCCUGUGUUGGGGGGGGAGUGGAAAAUUUUGGGAUUCUGCAAGGGAUUUUGGGAUUUGUUUAUCCUGUGCCUGUGCCCUGUGCUUUGUCUCUGUUUUGUGCCUUCGUUUGGGGGACUUCUGGGGGACUCUGCCUUCUGCCAUUGUUUUGGGGAUCUGUGGAACUCAGUUCAGCAUCCUGGGACUGCUGACAUGAAGCAAAGCAGCAAUGGCAAGAGAACUGUGAUAAAUGUUGAGACAAAUCUUAAAACAAUGACAAAAGCAAGUCUCAAUCAAAAAAAAAUUGGUAAGGAAAAGAUCCAGUGAGUCUGAACCAGGUGGCAGUGGUGUAAAAAAGGCAAGGGAACGAAUGGCAGGAGAGAAAUCACCGAUGGUUAUUGUGGAAGAGGACCCUGAGCCCCCAUCCAAACAGUGACUAUCGUCAGCACAGGGGUCGCUUUUCAUCGUCUGGUUCCUGUUGAGUGCUUCGCUGCUAAUCAGAGGCUUCCUGUUGAGUCUACCAGCUGUUGGGUCCUGAGCACCCACGCAACACAGAAGUUAUAUUUGGAGGUUUUGUUUUUGCUAUUUUUUUGCAUUUUGGUUUGUGUGGCCUUUUUGGUUUUUUGACUGUGACU